AAUAGCGCCUCGGCGACCUGGCUUUUCACGAAACUCUUGAAAUAAGGCAGAUAUUAGGAGGCACGCAGCUUGCAUUUCAUUAGCGAAAGCUUGUAUUCUGUAAUGGAUACAUUACACGGAAUAUCAGUAAAAAGACAUCGCUGGGAAGUCUAGGAGAGUUCAGCCUCGACACCCCCCCCGCCCCCUUUCCCAAGGAAAAAAGCCUCCCUCUCCCCUUAAAAAAAAGAAGUGGCUCUUUUGUCAUCUUGUGCAGCGCUAAUCACCAGCGAGAAAUCUGCUGGCCACAUGCACAUGUAAUCUAUUUUUUAAACAGAAGUAUCCGCUGGAGGAGAGGAAUUAAAAAAGCAAGGCAUAAAGCAAAGCAGGGAAUCCCCUUUUAAAACAUGAAUGGGAAAUAAUCACCUCCCCACCACCACCACCCAAAAAAAAAUGACUCUCGGCGUUAGCAGUGAAAGGGCUACAUUAUUCGGCGAGUAGCCGUGGGAUGUUUUUAUGUCCUUCAAUAAAAUUUUUACGAGGA